UACCAGCACCCCGAGUGGUCGGGACGAUUAUUGGGCCUAAAGCAUCCGUAGCUUGUUCUGCAAGUCCUCCGUUAAAUCCACCUGCUCAACAGAUGGGCUGCGGGGGAUACUACAGGGCUAGGAGGCGGGAGAGGCAAACGGUACUCAGUGGGUAGGGGUAAAAUCCGUUGAUCCAUUGAAGACCACCAGUGGCGAAGGCGGCUUGCCAGAAUGCGCUCGACGGUGAGGGAUGAAAGCUGGGGGAGCAAACCGG
rnacentral:rRNA from 1 species